AUUUUGCCCUAGAUCUACUUCCUUUUUUCGGUAGAUAAAUUAUUACUUACUGUGUACUGAAAAGAAUCCUUGUGUUUCUUAAUGGGGCACUUGUUAUAGUACAUGUACGUAUGUUUACAAAUUGUAGGGACUCGUCACGAUCGGAGCCCAGGAGAAUAAAACAACCAGACCAACUGAUAAAAUGGAAAAUGGACAGGUUACGGGUCCCAGAGAGGACAAAGAAGUUAUUGCUGACAUCGAUAUGGAAGCCAUAAAGUCUGUUUGAUUUCAGGAGUAUAUUUUGAAGAUAGUAAACCAUGCGCAAGAAAUUGUACAGAACGAGUCAAAAGAAAAAGCAAAACCGCGGGUCCACCGAGCUAAGCCUUGGACCCAAAGACUCGCGGAAAUAUUUUGUUUUAGAAGGAAAUGACGCAAUCAUAUAUAUAGUAUACGAACCGAUUUGGGAGUAGUAUGGAAUGGUAUUUAUAAUCAAAAACAGCUACAUUUUCUGAAGUUAAUGAAGAACAAACAUUUAGAAAGAAGGAUUGUGUGUGGAACAAUGAUAUAUGAAAAGGAUUUUAUGUCAUGAAAGUAAACGUGCGUGACUGCUUGGGCACUUCACCACUGGGGAUUACGUCGCGCCGUUCUUCAUUCUAAGUCGCUAGCUGGUCGUGAUGAAAACUCUUCGUCAUAUUGUUGAACGAGUUCACACUGGUCUGAUGGCAUGGUACAUAUAUUGUGUUUCAUCCCUGCAGUUUGAUCAUGUGAUUAGACUUGUAAUUGACUCUGUCCAGAACAUUGCUGAUGUCAUAAACGAUAAUUCACAACUACAUGAAUGUAUCACCAUACCAUGUUUCAAUGUGUGCAAACAUUCAUUCUUGUGUGGGGAAUUGAUGAGUUUCACAUUUGUUUUAGAAAAUAUAAACAUAUUUAUUAUUGUUAGAUUUAUUUUGUUUAAUAACCUUCUGUGCAUUUACAUGUAAUUUGUUAUUUACGUAUUCAUAUGUAUAAAAUAUAUU
rnacentral:misc_RNA from 1 species